UACGAGAGGCCCAAACGUUAUUCGGAAUUACUGGGCUUAAAGAGUUCGUAGGCGGCGCAGAAAGUAGGGUGUGAAAGCCCUCGGCUCAACCGAGGAAUUGCGCUCUAAACUACUGUGCUUGAGGAAGCUAGAGGUGAGCAGAACAGAUGGUGGAGCGGUGAAAUGCGUUGAUAUCAUCUGGAAUACCGGAGGCGAAGGCGGCUCACUGGGGCUUUUCUGACGCUGAGGAACGAAAGCGUGGGGAGCAAAACGG
rnacentral:rRNA from 1 species